GUGAGGAAUUUUCCGCAAUGGGCGAAAGCCUGACGGAGCAAUGCCGCGUGAAGGAUGAAGGCCUAUGGGUUGUAAACUUCUUUUCUCAGAAAAGAAUUAUGACGGUAUCUGAGGAAUAAGCAUCGGCUAACUCUGUGCCAGCAGCCGCGGUAAGACAGAGGAUGCAAGCGUUAUCCGGAAUGAUUGGGCGUAAAGUGUCUGUAGGUUGUUUAAAAAGUAUUCUGUCAAAGAUUAGGGCUUAACCCUAGAUAGGCAGAAUAAACUUUUAAGCUAGAGUUUGGUAGAGGCAGAGGGAAUUCCCGGUGGAGCGGUGAAAUGCGUAGAUAUCGGGAGGAACACCAAAGGCGAAGGCACUCUGCUGGGCCAAUACUAACACUGAGAGACGAAAGCGAGGGGAGCAAAUGGGAUUAGAAACCCUUGUAGUCC
rnacentral:rRNA from 1 species